CCUACGGGAGGCAGCAGUGGGGAAUAUUGCACAAUGGGGGAAACCCUGAUGCAGCGACGCCGCGUGAGGGAAGAAGUAAUUCGGUAUGUAAAGCUCUUUUAGCAGGGAAGAAACACUGACCUUACGGUCAGCAGUCGGUACCGGCGUAAGAAGCGCCGGCUAACUCCGUGCUACCAGCGGCAGUAAUACGUGGGAUACGAGCUGUGUCCGGAUGUAUUGGGGUAAAGGGGUGCGAAGGGGGCCUGUUACGUCAGCGGGAAAAGCACGGGGUUAAACCCCGGCGAGCCGUUGAAACUGGCGGUCUGGAGUAGGAGAGAGGUACGCGGAAUGCGUGGUGUAGCGGUGAAAUGCGUAGAUAUCACGCAGAACCCCGAUUGCGAAGGCAGCGUACCGGCUCCCCACUGACGCUGAGGCACGAAAGCGUGGGGAUCGAACAGGAUUAGAUACCCGGGUAGUC
rnacentral:rRNA from 1 species